GUAGGUGAACCUGCGGAAGGAUCAUUAUUGAAUAUUCUUGAUGGGUUGUAGCUGGCUCUUCGGGGCAUGUGCACGCUUGUCUUGACUUUAUUCAUCCACCUGUGCACUUUUUGUAGUCUUGGAGGUUGAGAGCGGUCAACUAUCGGAUAGCUGUUAUGGCCUUUCCGGAUGUGAGGAAUUGCUGAGUGCAAAAGCAUACAGCUCUUCUCAAAACGACUUGCAAUACCUCUCCUUCAAGUACUAUGUAUUCAUAUACCACAUAGUAUGUUGUAGAAUGUGAUCAAUGGGCUUAUGUGCCUAUAAUAAUCAUAUACAACUUUCAGCAACGGAUCUCUUGGCUCUC
rnacentral:misc_RNA from 1 species